CACCAGACUCCUACGGGAGGCAGCAGUGGGGAAUAUUGCACAAUGGGGGAAACCCUGAUGCAGCGACGCCGCGUGGGUGAAGAAGUCAUUCGUGACGUAAAGCCCUAUCAGCAGGGAAGAAAAUGACGGUACCUGAGUAAGAAGCACCGGCUAAAUACGUGCCAGCAGCCGCGGUAAUACGUAUGGUGCAAGCGUUAUCCGGAUUUACUGGGUGUAAAGGGAGCGCAGGCGGCACGGCAAGCCUGAUGUGAAAGCCCGCGGCCCAACCGCGGGACUGCAUUGGGAACUACCGGGCUGGAGUGCCGGAGAGGUAGGCGGAAUUCCUAGUGUAGCGGCGAAAUGCGUAGAUAUUAGGAGGAACACCAGUGGCGAAGGCGGCUUGCUGGACAGUAACUGACGUUGAGGCUCGAAAGCGUGGGGAGCAAACAGGAUUAGAUACCCGGGUAU
rnacentral:rRNA from 1 species